UACGGGGGGGGCAAGCGUUGUUCGGAAUUACUGGGCGUAGAGGGCUCGUAGGCGGCCAACUAAGUCAAACGUGAAAUCCCUCGGCUUAACCGGGGAACUGCGUCUGAUACUGGAUGGCUUGAGUUUGGGAGAGGGAUGCGGAAUUCCAGGUGUAGCGGUGAAAUGCGUAGAUAUCUGGAGGAACACCGGUGGCGAAGGCGGCAUCCUGGACCAACACUGACGCUGAGGAGCGAAAGCCAGGGGAGCAAACGGG
rnacentral:rRNA from 1 species